rnacentral:rRNA from 1 species
AUGAUCCCGGCGGUGCUGGUGCCCAUGAUGGGCAGGAGCGACGUGAGUGCGCCUCUGCGUUUCUUGAUUCGCGCCACCCCCCAUGGGUUGGCGCCUGGCGUCACAAGUUUCAGUGCCAACAAUGUCUGGUGGUGUUCUCGGCUUGCCAUCUCGAAUGGGUUGCAGGUUGACAGGGUGAGGGUGGUGCAGACGCUGCUCUUCGUCACCGGCAUCAACACGCUGCUGCAGUCGCUCUUCGGGACGCAGCUGCCCACGGUCAUAGGCGGCUCCUACGCCUUCCUCAUCCCGGUGAUGGCCAUCGUGCAGGACUCGUCGCUCGCGGCCAUACCUGACGAGCACGAGAGGUUCCUCCAGAGCAUGCGGGCCAUACAAGGGGCGGUUAUAGUGUCCUCCAGUAUUCGGAUCAUCCUUGGUUACAGCCAGCUCUGGGGUAUCUUCUCCAGGUACCACCACACACUGUCAAGUACUAGUUGUACUAGUGGCCAACCCGUGCAUUCGCUCGGCCUAGUUACUUAA